ACUUGUGCUCUUCCGAUCUGAGCUCUCGCUGCCACAUUGAGAUGAUCCUUACCGAAAAAGAGCAGACUGUUCCUAAACCAGAAGAGGAAG